UUGUUAGUUCUGUUAUGUCCUGAUGGAGAGGGUGGGUUAGUUCUGUUAUGUCCUGAUGGAGAGGGUGUGUUUGUUUUAGAUGGGGAGGCUUGGUUAGUUCUGUUAUGUCCUGAUGGAGAGGGUGAUUUUAUUCUGUUAUGUCCUGAUGGAGAGGGUGUGUUUGUUUUAGAUGGGGAGCUUGGUUAGUUCUGUUAUGUCCUGAUGGAGAGGGUGGGUUAGUUCUGUUAUGUCCUGAUGGAGACAAAUACCUCCCAUUGAAUCUUCAUGACUCCACGUUAAUGCAGAUUGUGAAUGAAAGAUGUAUUUUAUGCAUUAUGUUGCCAUUAAAUGGGAUCAUCGUUUUUAUGGACUACUGCACCUUCAUAACCAA
ensembl:lncRNA